GUUUUAAGAUCAUGCUCCAUACAGGAUCUUGAGUCUCUAAUAAUCUCUUUCAAGAGCUGAGAAUUGUUUGUGUGUUGACAUUCAAAGAUUCUAUUACAUCUCUCCUUCCACAUACACCAAAUAGCGCAUCUGAAAGUAACCUUUGCCAGUUGUGUAAGAGGCCCUUUUCUUGAGAAACAUUACAUAAGGUCGCCUAGUUCUUGGUGCAAGUUUGG
rnacentral:lncRNA from 1 species